UACGUAGGAGGCGAGCGUUAUCCGGAUUUACUGGGCGUAAAGCGCGUGCAGGUGGUUUUAUAAGUCGUGCGUGAAAGCGCUGUGCCUAACACGGCGAGGACGGGCGAGACUGUAAGACUAGAGCUAGAUAGAGGCAAGUGGAAUUCCGGGUGUAGCGGUGGAAUGCGUAGAGAUCCGGAAGAACACCGGCGGCGAAGGCGGCCUGCUGGGCGGUGGCUGACGCUGAGGCGCGACAGCGUGGGGAGCAAACAGG
rnacentral:rRNA from 1 species